CGGAAUGUGCGUCUAACGGCAAGACGAGCUGGCCACGGGCAAGCUGAUACAGGUUCGAAUCCUGGCUUUCCGGC
rnacentral:tRNA from 2 species